AGCUGUGACGGUAUCGCGGGAGCACGUUUCGCUGGAGGAAUUACAAAAGCAACCGCCCUCCCGGUCACUGCAGUGCCGUAGCCCUGCUCCGCCCAUCUGGGCAGCACACGCUCCUCCGACAGCUUUUUGGGGGAACCGAUACGAUUCACAGCUCUGUUUUCUAAAAAUGCUGUAAAGCACCCCUCUCCAGAUUCCCUGCGGGCCGCCGAAGUUACAGGUCCGUCCACACAGACCAGUUGCCAUUUCCUCCAGCCACGCAGGCGAAGGCCUGCCCCACGCUUCCCCGCGUACACACCGAACACGCCCCGCGGAAAGUUAGAAGAGGACGAGAGAGGGAGCGCAGGCAAAUCACGCAGGGAAGAUUGUGAAUGUCAACUCAGUCUGGGGAUUUCAGGUAUCUUGUAAGCUCGCUCGUCCUGGUGGCCCACUAUACAACAAAUAAGGCGAAUCGGACCUGCUUGAGCUCGAGCCGGUCUCCCGGCCUACUCGGGACCCCAGGAGGAGGGAUCAGGCAGGCAACACCCGCGUCUCUGGCAGACUCGGGCGACCCCAGCGGGAGCCGAGACUCCAGGAAUAAGGUGCCGGGGGAGGCGCGGCCUGGAGGGACUAGUUGGCGCGCGGCGCCGGGCGUGGUGACGUCAGAGCGGAAGCGCACGCUGCGUGAAGCGGCCCAACCCGGCGGUCACGGGAAUAUCCGUCGCGCCGAGAACCCUGGUUAGUCUCGCUUCGGGUUCCGGCUGCGUUGGGGUUGCGUGCAGCUCCCAGAGACUAUGGCGUCCGGGCCUCACCCGACAGCGACCGCCGCCGCCGCCUCGGCCGCCCCAAGCGCUGGUGGCUCCAGCUCCGGGACGACGACCACGACGACGACCACGACGGGAGGGAUCCUGAUCGGCGACCGCCUAUACUCGGAAGUUUCGCUCACCAUCGACCACUCGCUGAUUCCGGAGGAGAGGCUCUCGCCUACCCCGUCUAUGCAGGACGGGCUGGACCUGCCCAGCGAGACGGACUUGCGCAUCCUGGGCUGCGAGCUCAUCCAGGCCGCCGGCAUUCUCCUCCGGCUACCGCAGGUGGCGAUGGCAACGGGGCAGGUGUUGUUUCAUCGUUUUUUCUAUUCCAAAUCUUUCGUCAAACACAGUUUCGAGAUUGUUGCCAUGGCUUGUAUUAAUCUUGCGUCAAAAAUUGAAGAAGCGCCUAGAAGAAUAAGAGAUGUGAUUAAUGUAUUUCACCAUCUACGCCAGUUAAGAGGAAAAAGCGACCAGCUACAUUUACCAAAGCCUGGGUGAUGUGGAGUGGUACAUAGAGAUGAAGCUGUCGUCAUGGCAACAGACUCCAAGCCCCCUGAUCCUUGAUCAGAACUACAUUAACACCAAAAAUCAAGUUAUCAAGGCAGAAAGGAGGGUGCUAAAGGAGUUGGGAUUUUGUGUUCAUGUCAAGCAUCCCCAUAAGAUCAUUGUUAUGUAUUUACAAGUCUUAGAAUGUGAACGUAACCAAACCCUGGUUCAAACUGCCUGGUAAGUUGCUUUUUUACCUUUCUUUCCUAGCCAGGAAAACAGAAGCAGAAAUAAAGUAAGUUUCAUUCUCCCUUUUCAAAAUAAUGACAUAAGUUUGUUUUGGGGCUUUUUGUUUUUGUUUGUUUGUUUGUUUUUUAAUCAAAAGGUACAUAAUGCUUAUUUCUGCUUCCUGUUUUCUUGGCUUGACUAAUUACUUUUAAUGGAGAACUCAAUUUAACUUUGUUCUUUUUUCUACUCUUUGAUUAAAGGGUAGUCCAUGAUGGUAAGUCAUAGAACUCUGCCCUCUGCACUUCAGCCCAUGACCUCAGGAUGGCCUGAUUGGCUGCCCUGCUCUCCAGCCAAUCCAGUGCAAGCUCUCAUCCGAGAUUCACUGAAGUGGUCCAUAUCCAUCUGGCAGCAUCUUCUAGUUCUGUCGGGGUGUCAAAAGGAUUUGUAUAUUUGCUUCUAGAAGUAACUAUUUGACAUGCCUAUGUAUUUAAUGUAUACCUGUAACUAUCAAAAUGAGUAGUUCAUUUUUGAUAGAUUUGUUGUCCAGCCAUUAUGAAUUAUAAAAUGGUUUUUAUUAGGAGUUUGACUAAAUUUCUACUUUUAGUGUGUAUACCAUGAAGUCUACAACUUGCUGCUUAAAGUGCACACCAGUUCCAUACUGGGUUAAUUCAUAGCUACUGGGCUAUAUUGCAGGCAAUAAUAUUAGAAGUAAAAAUAUUUAUUUUUAAAAAGAUAUUACUAUUAGACACUUUAGAAUUUAGAUUUUUUGAUUUGCAGAUGUGACUUGGAGUGCUGGCUUAUUUAAAGGUCAAGCAAGGAGUUUGGUUCAGCCACAACUGUUUUCAUAAGACUGUUCAUGUGAAGGGUUUAAGUGAAGUAAUUUUUACGUUCUGGACUUUUUAGCAAGAUGUCCUUUUUUAUAAUUGACAUGCUUCUUUUGGAUUCAGUAAAUAUUAGUAAUAGAAAAGUCUCACUGCUUUUAUAAAAUGCAUGACAUUUUUAGUAUGUGUUCUAUAAAAUGGAUUUUAGUAGUUUUUAUGGGUAAAGAUUUUUAAGAAAUAGUUCAUUUAAUUUUAGUUUAAUCUUUUAUUAAUCUUUUAAAUGACAUGUAAACUUUAUUAGUUUAGGAAUAUUGUGGGGAGGGCUCACUAAUAAAAGUCUAGCACUUUAUUAACUGAAAUAGUUUAUUGCUGUUAUUUAUACAUAGUCACAAAAAGGUAUGUAAACAAGACCAUUGUGUGUGUUUAUUGCUCUUCACUUCUUAUCUAGAAAUUCUUAAGUACUUUAGUUUUUUUUCUAUUGUUUUAUUUUUUCCCCUUUAAUUGAGAUGGGGUAUCUCUGUCAUCCAGGCUGCUCUUAAACUCCGGGGCUCUCAAGCCUUGUCCCACCUCAGCCUUAAUGAGUGUCUGGGAUUACGGGUGCAUGCUACUGUGCCUGGUCAGCUCUCUUUACAUAAAUGUAAUUUGGUGGGUACUUAACUGAAAAUACCUUUUUACCCCUGUUACGGUACUUUGAGUUACUGGAAAAAACUUAGUUAAUACUGCUUUUUAUUGUGGAUAAAGGAG